UUUUAGGAUGGGACGAAGGUGUGUUGGGUAUGCAAGUGGGAGAAGCUGCUCGUCUUCAGUGCUCUCCUGACUAUGCGUAUGGUCCUAAUGGAUUUCCAGCAUGGGGAAUACUGCCCAACUCAGUUUUGGUUUUUGAAAUUGAGGUCCUAAGUGUGCAGUAAUCACCCUUUCAGAGUUGAAUCAUUUGCCUACUCUUUACAUAACAUUAUUAUGGAUUAUAUGUGCUUGGCUUUCUGUUCUGUGAACAUCUUUGGGGUUGAUAUGGUGAACUAGAUUUUUUA